UACGGAGGGUGCUAGCGUUGUUCGGAAUCACUGGGCGUAAAGGGCGCGUAGGCGGCUGUUCAAGUCGGGGGUGAAAGCCUGUGGCUCAACCACAGAAUUGCCUUCGAUACUGGACGGCUGGAGACCGGAAGAGGUCAGUGGAACUGCGAGUGUAGAGGUGAAAUUCGUAGAUAUUCGCAAGAACACCAGUGGCGAAGGCGGCUGACUGGUCCGGUUCUGACGCUGAGGCGCGAAAGCGUGGGGAGCAAACAGG
rnacentral:rRNA from 1 species